UACGUAGGUGGCAAGCGUUGUCCGGAUUUAUUGGGUUUAAAGGGUGCGUAGGCGGCCUUAUAAGUCAGUGCUGAAAUAUCCCGGCUUAACCGGGAGGGUGGCAUUGAUACUGUAGGGCUUGAGUACAGAUGAGGUAGGCGGAAUUGACGGUGUAGCGGUGAAAUGCAUAGAUAUGACAUAGAACACCAAUUGCGAAGGCAGCUUACUACAGGAAUAUUGACACUGAUGCACGAAAGCGUGGGGAUCAAACAGG
rnacentral:rRNA from 1 species